rnacentral:rRNA from 1 species
UUAAGCGACUAAGCGUACACGGUGGAUGCCCUGGCAGUCAGAGGCGAUGAAGGACGUGCUAAUCUGCGAUAAGCGUCGGUAAGGUGAUAUGAACCGUUAUAACCGGCGAUUUCCGAAUGGGGAAACCCAGUGUGAUUCGUCACACUAUCAUUAACUGAAUCCAUAGGUUAAUGAGGCGAACCGGGGGAACUGAAACAUCUAAGUACCCCGAGGAAAAGAAAUCAACCGAGAUUCCCCCAGUAGCGGCGAGCGAACGGGGAGCAGCCCAGAGCCUGAAUCAGUGUGUGUGUUAGUGGAAGCGUCUGGAAAGGCGCGCGAUACAGGGUGACAGCCCCGUACACAAAAAUGCACAUAUUGUGAGCUCGAUGAGUAGGGCGGGACACGUGGUAUCCUGUCUGAAUAUGGGGGGACCAUCCUCCAAGGCUAAAUACUCCUGACUGACCGAUAGUGAACCAGUACCGUGAGGGAAAGGCGAAAAGAACCCCGGCGAGGAGAGUGAAAAAGAACCUGAAACCGUGUACGUACAAGCAGUGGGAGCACGCUUAGGCGUGUGACUGCGUACCUUUUGUAUAAUGGGUCAGCGACUUAUAUUCUGUAGCAAGGUUAACCGAAUAGGGGAGCCGAAGGGAAACCGAGUCUUAACUGGGCGUUAAGUUGCAGGGUAUAGACCCGAAACCCGGUGAUCUAGCCAUGGGCAGGUUGAAGGUUGGGUAACACUAACUGGAGGACCGAACCGACUAAUGUUGAAAAAUUAGCGGAUGACUUGUGGCUGGGGGUGAAAGGCCAAUCAAACCGGGAGAUAGCUGGUUCUCCCCGAAAGCUAUUUAGGUAGCGCCUCGUGAAUUCAUCUCCGGGGGUAGAGCACUGUUUCGGCAAGGGGGUCAUCCCGACUUACCAACCCGAUGCAAACUGCGAAUACCGGAGAAUGUUAUCACGGGAGACACACGGCGGGUGCUAACGUCCGUCGUGAAGAGGGAAACAACCCAGACCGCCAGCUAAGGUCCCAAAGUCAUGGUUAAGUGGGAAACGAUGUGGGAAGGCCCAGACAGCCAGGAUGUUGGCUUAGAAGCAGCCAUCAUUUAAAGAAAGCGUAAUAGCUCACUGGUCGAGUCGGCCUGCGCGGAAGAUGUAACGGGGCUAAACCAUGCACCGAAGCUGCGGCAGCGACGCUUAUGCGUUGUUGGGUAGGGGAGCGUUCUGUAAGCCUGCGAAGGUGUGCUGUGAGGCAUGCUGGAGGUAUCAGAAGUGCGAAUGCUGACAUAAGUAACGAUAAAGCGGGUGAAAAGCCCGCUCGCCGGAAGACCAAGGGUUCCUGUCCAACGUUAAUCGGGGCAGGGUGAGUCGACCCCUAAGGCGAGGCCGAAAGGCGUAGUCGAUGGGAAACAGGUUAAUAUUCCUGUACUUGGUGUUACUGCGAAGGGGGGACGGAGAAGGCUAUGUUGGCCGGGCGACGGUUGUCCCGGUUUAAGCGUGUAGGCUGGUUUUCCAGGCAAAUCCGGAAAAUCAAGGCUGAGGCGUGAUGACGAGGCACUACGGUGCUGAAGCAACAAAUGCCCUGCUUCCAGGAAAAGCCUCUAAGCAUCAGGUAACAUCAAAUCGUACCCCAAACCGACACAGGUGGUCAGGUAGAGAAUACCAAGGCGCUUGAGAGAACUCGGGUGAAGGAACUAGGCAAAAUGGUGCCGUAACUUCGGGAGAAGGCACGCUGAUAUGUAGGUGAAGUCCCUUGCGGAUGGAGCUGAAAUCAGUCGAAGAUACCAGCUGGCUGCAACUGUUUAUUAAAAACACAGCACUGUGCAAACACGAAAGUGGACGUAUACGGUGUGACGCCUGCCCGGUGCCGGAAGGUUAAUUGAUGGGGUCAGCGCAAGCGAAGCUCUUGAUCGAAGCCCCGGUAAACGGCGGCCGUAACUAUAACGGUCCUAAGGUAGCGAAAUUCCUUGUCGGGUAAGUUCCGACCUGCACGAAUGGCGUAAUGAUGGCCAGGCUGUCUCCACCCGAGACUCAGUGAAAUUGAACUCGCUGUGAAGAUGCAGUGUACCCGCGGCAAGACGGAAAGACCCCGUGAACCUUUACUAUAGCUUGACACUGAACAUUGAGCCUUGAUGUGUAGGAUAGGUGGGAGGCUUUGAAGUGUGGACGCCAGUCUGCAUGGAGCCGGCCUUGAAAUACCACCCUUUAAUGUUUGAUGUUCUAACGUGGACCCGUGAUCCGGGUUGCGGACAGUGUCUGGUGGGUAGUUUGACUGGGGCGGUCUCCUCCUAAAGAGUAACGGAGGAGCACGAAGGUUGGCUAAUCCUGGUCGGACAUCAGGAGGUUAGUGCAAUGGCAUAAGCCAGCUUGACUGCGAGCGUGACGGCGCGAGCAGGUGCGAAAGCAGGUCAUAGUGAUCCGGUGGUUCUGAAUGGAAGGGCCAUCGCUCAACGGAUAAAAGGUACUCCGGGGAUAACAGGCUGAUACCGCCCAAGAGUUCAUAUCGACGGCGGUGUUUGGCACCUCGAUGUCGGCUCAUCACAUCCUGGGGCUGAAGUAGGUCCCAAGGGUAUGGCUGUUCGCCAUUUAAAGUGGUACGCGAGCUGGGUUUAGAACGUCGUGAGACAGUUCGGUCCCUAUCUGCCGUGGGCGCUGGAGAACUGAGGGGGGCUGCUCCUAGUACGAGAGGACCGGAGUGGACGCAUCACUGGUGUUCGGGUUGUCAUGCCAAUGGCACUGCCCGGUAGCUAAAUGCGGAAGAGAUAAGUGCUGAAAGCAUCUAAGCACGAAACUUGCCCCGAGAUGAGUUCUCCCUGACCCUUUAAGGGUCCUGAAGGAACGUUGAAGACGACGACGUUGAUAGGCCGGGUGUGUAAGCGCAGCGAUGCGUUGAGCUAACCGGUACUAAUGAACCGUGAGGCUUAACCUU